GAAAGUGCAGAGAUCGGAUGGGUUUACUUUUGGAAUUGUAUUUGCUCCGAGAACAUCGUUUUUCACUAACAGUUCAGUUCAGUUGUCUCCUUGUGAUAAACGGCUUUCGCUUUCCUCGGCGAAUUCUCAACUUGCUGUGUUUAGACCUAAAGUUGAUGAGAUCUCUCUUCUUACUAUUAAUACUUCCAGCUUCUUCCCUGUAUGUUUUUUUCUCCCUCCAUCUCUCUUGUUUUUGAUUUAUACCGUUAAUUGUUUAUGUAUAAGGUGUUCAUACACUCUAUCCUCCCAGACCCCGCUAUGUGGUACGGGUAUGCUGUUGUUGUUGUUGUUGUUGUUUGUAUAAGGACGAAAGUUGAGGUUUUUGUUGAUUAUUUGGGGAAAUAUGGUGAAAUGGGGUUAGAUCUGAAAUGGGUUUUUUUUUGGUGGGUUUUGGUUUGGGGGUAUUGGGUGAGGUGGGGGUUGGAGGGGGGAGGGUUGGGGACAAAGGAUUGCAAUUGUUUGUAUAAGACAUUCUUGAGCUGAGGGUCUCUUGGAAAUAGUAUGGCUAGCUCUGAGGUAGUUUUGACACAAUCCCACAGUGACAAGAACCGCGUGUAUAUUUGCUCCAAGAACAUCGUUUUUCAUUAACAGCUCAGUUCAGUUGUCUCCUUGUGACAAACGGCUUUCGCUUUCGUCGGGGAAUUCUCAACUUGCUGUGUUUAGACCUAAAGUUGAUGAGAUCUCUCUUCUGACUAUUAACACCUCCAACUUCUUCCCUUUAUGUAUUUUUUUCUCUAUCUCUUUUGUUUUUGAUUUAUAUUGUUAAUUGUUUGUGUAUAAGAUGUUCUUGAGCAUGAGGGUAAUAUUGGAAAUUGCUUCGAUAGGUAGCCUGCUUUGUGGGAUUGUACUGGCUAUGUUGUUGUUGUUUGUGUAAGGAUGAAAGUUGAGGUUUUUAUUGAUUAUUUGGGGAAAUAUGGUGAAAUAUUGAUUAUUUGGGGAAAUAUGGUGAAAUGGGGUUAGAUCUGAAAUGGGAUUGUUCUAGUUUUAGGUUUGGUUUGGGGGUUUUGCCUGUGGGGUGGGGUGGGGGGGUAAGGAUGAAUGAAAGAGAUGUAAUUUUUGUAUAAGGAUGAAAGUUGAAGUUUUUAUUGAUUACUUGGGAAAUAUGGUGGAAUGGGGUUUUGGAUUUGAGAUGAGUUUGUUCUGGACUUCUGGUUUUUGGUUUAGUUUGGAGUUUUGUUGAGAGGGUGCGGCGGCGGUGGUGGUGGGGGCUAAGUGAGAAUGAAAAUGGAUGUAAGUUUUUGUUUAAGGCUGAAAGGUGCACUUCUUAUUGAUUACUUGGGGAAAUACGGUGAAUGGGAUUAGAUUUGAAAUGGAUUUUGUUCUGGUUUUAGGUUUAGUUUGGGGGGUGGGGGAUGCGGAAUAAAGAAGAAUGCAAAGGGAUGUAAUUGUUCUUGAUUAUGUCCAGCGAUGGUAGAAAGUUAUAGCCGUAGUUUUUGGGAGAUUGUCUUCCUAAAUAGGAAUAUGUGGAGAUUGAGGAUUAUGGUUUAGUAAGUAGUCGAUUGUAGUUUUUGGGACAUUGUCUUCCUAAAUAGGAGGGUAUGGAGAUCGAGGAUUAUGGUUUAGUAGGAUUGUUGUUUUGUGUUCCUUAUUACUUGUUGUUCUGCUCCGGUCCUUUGCUUCGGCUACCAUAUUAUUUGUUGUUGAUACUUAUCUGAUUCUCCUUUAUUGUUAGCAUGACUUCAUUAUUAUAUUUUCUUUUGAUACCUGAUUAUGAUAUGCUUUACUUGAGCUGAGGGUCUAGGUGAAACAACCUCUCCACCUUUACACGGUAGGGGUAAGGCUGAGUAAACACCAUCCUCCCCAAACCCCACUUGUGGGAUUACACUGGGUAUGUUCUUGUCUUCCUAGAAAAAAGUACUAGGGGAAACAACCUCUCCACCUUUACACAGUAGGGGUAAGGCUGAGUAAACGCCACCCUCCCCAAACCCCACUUGUGGGAUUACACUGGGUAUGUUCUUGUCUUCCUAGAAAAAAGUACUUCUCCUUGGUCCCAAUUUGCAUGAGGGUGUUUGACUGGGAAUGGAGAUUAAGGGGGGAAAAGCUUUUAAAAUUUGUGCUUUGAACACACCAUAGACAAUUCGGUUGCUGAAUGAGAAGUUUAAAGUUACAUUAUUUCUAAAUAUAGAAUAGUGUUAUUUGUAUUGGGACAGAACAAAAAGUAAUCAAUGAUACCUAAAUUGGGAUAGAGGGAGUGUUUAGUAUAUAUGGAGAAUAUAGUGUGGUUUGGUUUUCUUCUGCUGCUGUUUUUAACUUUUUAUGUCAUUCACUUUAAGCUAAUGGAGGACAGUUAUUUCCUAAGCAUCUGUUUUCCAUGUAUUUUUUUUGGCUGAAUAUCCAUGGAUCUUAAUUCUAGAACUAGAUCUGUUGGACUUGAUUGAUAUUCUGUUGGACUUGAUUGAUAUUCUUAUACUGAUGAAUGCUAGUAUCCUUCUUUGUUACGAUAUCCCAUGAUCUGUAACUAUCUGAAUUUUCCUUUAUUACCAUUAUUGUUUGGGUAUGUGCUGAUGAAUUCUUAUUUCGUUCUUAAUCUGAUGUUUGCCUCCUGCCACUAAUUCUAUCUUACUCGUGUUGGUCCUCCAGAUGUCUAUGACUUAAUGCACUCUUGAAUUUUGUUUUAGGAGUCAUUGGUAGCACCAGCGUGUAACCUAUAGGUUGGUAUAAAUUAAUAAUACAACAUCAUUAAGAGAACAAUAGCUUUCAUUUGUAUUAUUAUUGAAAGCAAUAUGCAACUUAUACCUAACUUUUAAUAAAGAUUAGUAGUAAAACAUCAGCAGUAAUAAUUUUUAUAUAUUUAAAGGUCUAAGCAACUAAGCCUUAAAAAUAGAGCAAAUGGUCCUAAAAGUUUCUUUACUAUUUAAGGAAAUACGAUGUGAGUGUUGAACUAUGAUUUGUGCUAUUCCAAACUCCAGGUGCCUUUAUCCAUCAGUAUCUUCUCUUAUAUGACCACAAUCUGGGAAGUGGGAAUUUCAGAAAUCGGGCCUACAAAGCUUUGGGGUGAAUUAAGUCUGUAUUACAAAAUAGGUUCACCUCUUUAGUUAAGUACUAACCCUUAAGUUUCGGGGCAAUAGCACCUUGGUGUCCGGUAAAUAUGUCUUUAUACCUUCUGAUGCCUUCCCCCUUGUGCUGCUUGACCUUUCGACUUGAUGAUCGCCACAACUGAAGCAACAAUUAGCUUUAUGACACGGUUUCUGGGGUUUGCACAAUGACUGACCUUCCGAGGGGUCUCAACUUCUGCAUUUGUUCCCUCAUCUGCACCUUGUACUCUCUCUGUCGUUCACAAUUGGCAACAUGGCGAGCACGGAGCGCCCUACAAGCACCUCUAUCUGCAACAUGGCGAGCACGGAACGCCCUACAACCACCUCUAUCUGCCUUACUGUUUUCUUCAAUAAAGGUUGAGAUGAAGAAGAGCUAAUGGAUUCCCAAAUUAGGUUUUUGUAACGGACAGGCCAAUACUAGUGCUGCUGUUUUGGGCUUAGUUUUACCUCUGCUUGCUGAUUUCAAUUUUCAAAGGAGGCCCAUUUCCACCUUGUAUCUUUUAGGGAUGGAGUGAAUAGUGCUUAAUGGUCUUUGUUUUUCCUUUCCUAUCAGAGAGCUUUAGUGGGAAAGCAAGAUGACAUGCUUCAUAUUCAGCCCUCGUAUUCUUACUUGCUAUGUUUUAGGUUUCAUGGCAAGGUGAGUGGGUGCUGGGAAUGUGAAUCGUUUCAAAUACCAACUCACGCACUAGAUCACAGGCUUCCAAACUGUUAAGCCUAUAACCUGCAGACACUGAAGGGCCUGCCAAUGUUGUCAAUACCUUAGGAUAUGUUUCCAAAGCUUUACAUACUUGCAAUAUGAUCGUGCUAUUAUUUGAUUAUCAUCUUAGAAAAUGUGCCUUAGCCUUUUACUUUUUUCCAUCGUUGCUAUUGGUUAAACAAAAACAGACAAUAUCCGGCCCGCCCAUUUUUAGCGUAGAUAAAAAAAAUGGGUUAUCCGACGAAUGAUAUUAUCUAUGGCUUCAGGAAUAGCCACAGGAAUAGUCAACUAAAAACACAAGCUAAAAGCCAAAUAAAGCUCAGACCAACAGAAAGCAAGUGCUCAUGAAAAUAACAAGCAACCAAGUGAAUAUUUAUAAUAUGGAUAUCCAUAUUAUCCAUCUAGAUAUGCAUUUUUUCGACGGAUAAGAUGGAUAAUAUUCAUAUUUGACUCAUUUUAUCUCUUCGAAACAGCCUCUCUACCUCCACGAGGUAGUGGUAACUGGUAAGGUCUGCGUAUUCUCUACCCUCCCAGAUCCCACUUGUGGCACUUGUGGGAAUUCACUGCAUAUGUUGUAUAAGAUGGAUAAUAUCCAUAUUUGACUCAUUUUAAAAAAGUCGGUUAUCCAACCCAAUAUCUAAUGGAUCGGAUGGGAUGGUUACUUGUUUUCUCAACCAUUUUGCCAGCCCUAGCUGCCCUGUUAUAUAACAGAAGAAGUCUUCUAUUCUUCUUCAAAUAUAGGGGAGUCUAUUACACUUAAUAGCUCAUGAUCUGCAGCUCAUGUUGGAAGCUCUUUUGCUAAUUUCAUAAAGUGUUAAUGCUCGUUUGUUUAUCUCAACCCCCUAGGCCCUCUUCUUUUUGCUGCAUCCUUGAGAAGCCUCUUCUGUUUCUCUUUUUUCUUUUCUGUUUAUUUUAUGGGAGAGGGGUGGGGAUAUUGUGAGAAGGGGAGUGAUUUAUUUACUGAUUCACACCGAGUUUAAGGAUUUCUUAAAUUAUUUGUUAUCAAGUACUAUUGUGUUCCUUUCAUGUUUCUUCUCCUAUCUGGGCCGUUUUAGCUCAGUUUUUGUAGCUAGCAUCAACUGUUACAGAAACAUAUGCAUGCAUGUAUCUUCAUUUUUCCCUAUCUGUUCGCAUUCUGCAAUUUAUGAAGCUCAUUAGUACCUUUUAUUUGGGUAUUGGCUGAGUACUUUCAUCCUCCAAUAUGCUUACCUGGUGAUCGUUUGUAAAAUAGCAAUUUGGUUCGAGUUAUUGCUUGAUUCCUUCUUUAGUUGUUGUGAUAUUGGACUUAUCAUCCUUCAAUUGAAUGAAGUGUGUCAUUUUCAUCCAACUACUAGCGGAAGUUAAUAGAGAAAACAGAUUGUUAAUGUUCAAAAGAGCAAUUCAGUUGUAUGGAUGUCACUUUGGUGAUCCAUCGAGGCUUCUCUCAUCUUUUCUUCCUCUUGGCUCCCUCUAAGUUUGAAGCUCUCUUGUCUGCAGACACAAGCCCCAAGAAAAAGAAAAAGAGAAUCCACAUUCAAUUUCCUUAGCAAGUAUUAAAAGAAGACGACCAAUAAUACAAGUCACAAGCUCCACAAUGUGUUGUGCUUCCAUGUUUCAUUUUGAUUCUGCAGUUCAUCUUUUUUAUUGUGGGAAACGAGCAUCAAGUAAAACAAAUAGUUGAGUGUGCAACCCAUUUCUAGUGAAAUCAAGGAAUGGAAAGUCCUGAUCACCCAAAGAGGGUGUUAGAAUCCAGUCCAUUUUAAUAACCAUCCUUUUAUUCUUCCAACCACCAUGUAAGGGACGCAAGCACCAUCUAUCGGUAAGGAAUUUGAUUUGUUCACCAAAGCCAAGUUUUUAUUUUACCUUUAGCCGAAUUCCCUCCACCCCAUCAGAUCAUUACCAAACUUUCUUCUUUACUUUAAGCUGAACACUCUCCUCCAAUUUGUGAGAUACCUAAAUUGUCUUUCUUGAAAUUAACAGAUCAUGUCUUUUAUGAGCCUUUAUUAAUAGUUGGAGGCUUGGAGGACAAUCACGCACUUCACUUUAUUGAAGGAUGAAUGUGCUAGAUCCAAUAUCACAAGGACUAAUAAAGGAACUAAUCAAGAAUUUGAGGACCUAAGCUACCAUUUUCCCUUUUUUCUAUUUUCAUAUGCAUCAACUGACCUCUAACGUGUCUUAUACUGUAUGUACAACAGGAUUCUUACGGAGGCUACAUGGUUGCAUUUGCUGGUCGGAAAUAUGCUGCUAGGUCUUUGCCUGCUUUCGUUGCUAAUGGUACAUUCAUCGUAACAAGUUUUACU
rnacentral:lncRNA from 1 species